GAGAUCAUGACCUGGCUGAAGUCGGACGCUUAACCGACUGCGCCACCCAGGCGCCCCCAGAGCUGCUUUAAACAGGAGCUUCCGGGAAGCAUACAUGACAAGGGGCAAGACCACUAAAUAUGGAAAACCUGACUCCCAAUCGAUGCUUUGAAAGAAAGAUCUUGAUCAAAAGAGGGAAAUGUGAAACUGAAUAGAGGAAACCUCAUUUAAAAGGGAGUCAGGAGACCAGAAGGGGAGCUCUCAUGUCGAAUCAUUUGUCCCUCGCAGACCCCAGCAGGAAGAAAUGUACCUUGCAAUACCAGCAGGAAGAAGCCUACUUUACCACCUCAGAAGGAGGAAGGGAGAAUUUCUCCUGACCUAGCAACAAGCUCAGCCAAUAAGAAAAUACCACAACUCAGCCAAUGAGAAACCAUCACUACCCUGAACUCUCAUUUUCCUCCAAUGGAUUUCAUUCAUGCAGCCCCUCCCAACUUCCUUCUCUUCUCUACAAAGUAACCUUCUUUUCCUUUGAUUUUUCAACUGUGUUAUGGUUUGCCAUAGCUUUUGUGUCCUGAACUGCGAUUUCUCUGCUAUUCCUCAAUAAACUUAUUCUGCUGGUAAAA